rnacentral:lncRNA from 1 species
UGGCCGGCUGUCCCCGGCCCACACAGGGUGCUGCCUCAGCCCCUCUGUGCUUCUGCCUGUUCCAGAGGCUGUCAGGUUCUCUGGCGCACCCUCUCACCUGUUCAGACUAAUUUCCUAAGUUCGGCGGGUCCCCGACCAAGAUGGCGACCGCUCUAUUUCCAGUUUCUUAUAGCUCCUGAGAUUUACUUUGUGUUUGAGUGUGUGGCAAAUUUUAGAGAACAUUCCAUGAGAUGCUGCUGAGAAGAUAAUAUUUCAUGAAAUGUUCUGUAAACAUGUUAGGUCCAUUCGGCUUAUGAUGUCAGUUACCUCCAGCAUUUAGUUUUUGUUUGCAUGAUCUGCCUUUUGACUAGAGUGGAUAUAUAACAGAAUUUUUUCAUAAUUGUUAAAUGCUAUGGAAUAGAUAUUGUAAAUACAUAUUAUACCUUGUAGUUUUCAUAAUUAUUUAAUAAUUGUUUUAUAUAUAUAUAUAUGUAUACAGUUUAUUUUUUGAAAGAAAAAGUAUCUUUUAUUAGACAAAAGGGGAAAUGUAGGCAUAAUGUUUUUGUACACUUUAUAAAGUUUAUCCUUGGGUUAUUAAAAUGCUGAUUUCUCUGCCCUCAAAUCUUAUUUUAAUCUGGACACUACAUUGUGUAGGCUUAUACCAAGAAUCUCCUGUCUCAUAUUUAUUUUCUGCCUUGUCAAUAAAUGCUGAUCACCCCAUGGCUGGAAGAAUAGAGAAUAGGGUGAGGCAUCCACCAGCCAAAAGAAGGAAAACGGGAAAUUCAGAUUAAUUGAGAGGAUGGAGGAGUUAGAGGAUGGAGGAGUUGGAGCCAUGAAAAAGUGGUCCAGAGAAAUCAUGGAAAUGUACCUGAAGCCCAAAAAGGCAGAUCAAUAAUAAUAUCCAAGUAUCAUGUGAUGGGGCUGGGAGGUAACAGAUUAGCAUAGGAGGUAAAAGUAGAUCAUUUAACUGCUCAGCUAUUGAGGUAGAGUUUUAAAUAUAUCUUGGUCUCUCUGUGUGGUUAUUGGGGACCAGCAUAAGGUAAAUAAAUACAUCACCAGAUUAAUUCACUGUUAAUACUUAUAUUAAAGAUAAUUCGUUUACAUCUUACUAUCACUGUGUGAGGCUCAGGAUGGGAUUUAAGCUAUAGUUCUGUUUCUUUUAUGAACUUGAGUGCCCUUGUAUUUGGGGCAUAGCUGGUAAGAAUUACAAUGUCCUCUUGAUAGAUUUUUUUUCCUAUGAUGAAUAUAUGGUGUCUUUCAACUGUCUCUUCUGUUUAGUUUUGGUUUGGUGUAUUUUAUCAUAUAUUAAGAUAGAACAGUCUACUUUUAAGGCUCAUUUCCUUGGAAUAUCUUUUUCUAUCCUUUAACUUUGAGUUGAUGAAUAUCUUGAUGUUAAGGUAUGUUUCUUGGAUGCACCAGAAAGAAGUAUCGCAAUUUUGCAUCCAUUCUGUUAGUCUGUGUCUUAUUGGGAAAUUGAGACCAUUGAUAUUGAGAGUUAUCAUAGAGCAAUAUUUAUUGAUUUCUGUUUUUUCGUUCUUGUGGUGUGAUCCUCCACUUAAACUUCCUGCUCUUGGAUUAUUUAUUCUUGUGUUUCCUUGGUUGUGGUUAAUGACUGUAAGUUGGAGUUUUCCUUUUUGUGCCUUCUUUAGGGUUAUAUUUAUAGAUAACUAUUGCUUAAAUUUAGUUUUAUCAGGUAAUGUCUUCUUGUAUCCUUUUACUGUGAUUGAAAGUUUUGCUGUGCAUAAUAGUCUGGGCUAGCAUCUAUUGUCUCUUUGAGUUUGUAGAACAUCUGUACAGGCCUUCUGGCUUAAACUCUCCAUUGAGAAGUCAGGUGUUUUUCUAAUAGGUCUUCCCUUAUGAUACUUGUUACCUUUCUUCCUAGAUUUUUAAUAUUCUUCAUUUGUUCUGUUCAUUUUAGUGUUUUGAUCAUUAUGUGGCAAGGGGACUUUCUUUCCUGGUCAAGUCUAUUUGGUAUUCAGUAUGCUUCUUGUAUAUUGAUAGGUAUGUCUUUCUUAAGGGUAGGUAAUUUUCUUACAUGAUUUUGUUGAAAACAUUUUCUUUUUUUUUAUUUCUAAAUUUGUAGAUUUGACAAUUUCUUUGUCAAAGAUCAAGUGUCCAUAAAUGUGUGGUUUUAUUUCUGAGUCUUCAAUUCUAGUCCACUGAUCUGUCUCUGUACCAAAACUGUGCAGUUUUUAUCACUAUUGCUCUGUAGUACAGCUUGUAGUCAGAGAUGGAGAUUUCCCCCGAAAGUUCUUUUAUUGUUAAGAAUUGUUUUCUCUAUCCUGGGAUUUUGUUUUUGCAUAUGAAAUUGAGAGUUGUUCUUUCCAUGCCUUUGAAAAAUUUUGAAAUAUGUUGGAAUAUGGUGGGGAAUACCUUGAAUCUGUAGGUUGCUUUGGUAGGAUGGCCAUUUUUACUAUAUUAAUUCUACCAAUCCAUUAAAAGAACAUCCUCUGGAUAUUCACCAUCUGGAUGUUCACCAUGCAUCAGGCUGCCUAUCUGUGGGCAGCCUUUGAUUGAAUGCUCUUGGUAUAGCAGGCCUGGGUGUUCCUUGUUUGGUGAGCCUGAUGGAGGCUGGCCAAGCAGUGGCUAGACAAUCACCCAUUCCCAUUGUUAGUCUGUUGGAGCCUACAUGAACCCUGCUUAGUUGGUUCAAUGGGUCAUGUUCUUCUGGUGCCCUCCAACAUCAUUGACUCCUACAAUCUUUCCUACUCCUUUCCCAUGGUGUUCCUUGAGGAAUGAGGAGAGGGACCCAGUAGAGAUCUCCAAUUUAAACUUUCUGUAUAAUUUCUAUUGGUGGGACUCUGUACUGCUCCCAGAGGUAACCUCUCUGAUGAUGACUGGAGAGGGCACAGAUCAUUCUAACAUUUCCUUUAUCCAUUUUUUUAAUUCAACAUUUGUAUAUCAAUGUAUUAUAUCUUGUUUUCAAUGACCUAGAUUCUUUCUUUCAUUUCUUGUAUUCUGUGGGUGAGGCCUCUGAGGUUUAUGCUUAAGUUCUUAAUCUUUCGAUUAAAGCUUGAAAGUCUUUCAUUUGUAGAAUUCCCUCAGUUUGGAUUCUCUUUAUUGACUCUGUUUCUACUUUAAGGUGUUGAACUGCUUUAUUAAGUUCCUUCCACUGUUAGUGUUGUCAUGGAUUUCUUGAAUGCAUUUCUUCAUUUCUUCUUUAAAGACCUCUAUGAUAUUCAUAAACUCUUUUUAAAGGUCUUUUGUUCUUGUUUAUCAGCUCUGUUAGAAUAUUCCAUCCUGCUAUGGUAGAGUUGCUGGGCUUCAGUGGAUACAUUUUUUCCCCCUGGUUGUUGUUGAAUGUUUUUUUAUGCUGCCAUCUAGGCAUCUGAGUUGGGGAUAAUUGUUAUUCUAGCUGUUGAUAUCUGGUUUUGUCUUUGUUGGAUGGGUAUUUUGGCCUUUUGUUUCUGUUGCCCUCUCUGAUUCUUAUGAAAGUGUUGGUUUUGUGGUGGCUGUGUGUUGCAUGGUUGGGAGUGAUUCUGGGCUUCACUUAUUUAUGGCCACUAGAAGUUUUAUGUUCAAUAAUUUAAUAUGGACAGAUUUUCAUAUAAGUGCUUAUAAAUGAGCUGUAGUAUUGGAAUGUAGUAUGUGUGUAAGUUGUAGUUUACCUAGCUAUUCUGGGUUAGCAUAAAGGACUAUUAACAUGGAGAAAACAAACCUUAUAUGUUAAAACUAAUGAAGAGGUUAGAAACUUAUUUUUCUUAUCUUUUCCUUUUGGAGUAUUCAAUAAUGUUAGAAAGGUCCUUUAAAUAAACUAUUUUUUAUAUAGUGAGGAGACUCCUAUUGU